rnacentral:lncRNA from 1 species
GUUUGAUAGCCUUGACUAUCGCAUUGGCCCGCUGCCAGAAUGACUGCCUGUUUACCAAGUCUUCCAUUCUGCUUCCUUCAAUGCCGGCCUGGGCAUAUCUACUUUCCUGCCACUCGGGACUGACAAACAUCUGACGUAGGGCUCUUUUCUUCUCGAUAAGGCUAUCAAGUGCAAUGUAAUUCGUAGCAAACCGUGUGACUCCUGGUCUAAG